rnacentral:lncRNA from 1 species
CAGGGUUUAGAGCAUGGAGGCCGUUCCUCCCAAUCACGCCUCUCCAGGUGUCUCCAUCGUUUCCCACGUGUGCGUUGAAGUCUCCCAGCAAGACUACGGAGUCCCCUACUGGAGCCCCCUGCAGGGCUCCAAAAAGGGUCUCCAAGAAGGCCGAAUACUCCGAGCCCUCCCUCUAGGCCAGGCUCCAGACGGGGGCCCCGGGCUUCCUCCGGGUAGGGUCUCUCCUCUCCUUUCCUUUCCCUUUGUAUCAUGAGGUCAUUUUUUAACCAUUCUUAGUCUGGUCCCCUCAUCUGAGACCAAUUUGCCUUGGGAGACCCUAUCAGGAGCACUAGGCUCCAGACAACACAGCUCUCAGGUUCAUAGGGACACACAAACCUCUCCACCGCGGUAAGGUGAUGGUUAUAUAAUAUAUAUUCAAGUAAUCUGCAAAGACACUGAAACAUGUUUACAUUUAAAUGAAAUGAAAAUAAUGAUGCAGAAUAAUUCCCUCCGUCAGAAAUGUGACGUUUGUUCCCAGAAGGCAGGAAGCCUGAAGAAACUGAAUAUAAACAGACUCUCAUGUUAUCAACAGACAAACAGCUGAGUCUUAUCACUUCCUGCUUCAUACACUCACACUCACACUCACACUCACACUCACUCACUCACUCACUCACUCACUCACUUACUCACUCACUUACUCACACACACACACACACACGCAGAUACUUGCUGGUACCGUCUGAGUGUUUCUUUAGUUUCUCAGGAUCUCAGGAGCUGCAGGUCUUUCCCAGAAUGCAGUUCUUCCUCUUCCUCGUCUUCCUCGGGCCCCUUGUUGCCACGGUUACAGCGGUGGCCGGUUGCAAAGGCGGCCGGGACAAAGACCACCGGCCGCAGGAGAACUGCACGGCGGCCGGCUUCAGUGACGUACCGCCGGGACUCGAACCCACAACCAAGGUUCUGUUGUUCCCCAACAACCUGUUCUCCAGCCUGUCCUGGUCCUCCUUCCAGGUCUUCAUGCAGAUCUAUGAGAUCGACCUCACAGGCAACAAGGUUUCUGAACACAGUCAUCAAAACUCAGAAAAUAUGUUUCUCUCAUAUUGUUUUUGAACAUAAUUAGAUUCAAAAGGUUUCAUGACUUCCGGUGUCUCCAGGUUCCACAGGUGACCUCCAGCGCUGCUCCGAUGCUGACCAGCCUCAGCGUUCUCCGGCUGGGCUCGAACCACCUGACGUCCCUCCCUGACGGAUCCUUCUCCGCCUGUCCCGCUCUGACUGAACUCUACCUGGACAACAACGCCCUGGUCUCUCUGAGCAACUUCAGCUUCUCUGGACUCAGCAAGCUGGAGGUCAGUCAGUGUGUCAGCAGUGGGACUGUAGCGUGUUAGGAAGGAAAGAUCCUAGCAUAGCAUGUUUGGAAGUUAGGAUGUUGUAGUUCGUUAGG